AUCUUUGGAGAAAAAUAAGAGCCCACAGGAUUUCACUCAGCUUUUCCUGUCCCUCCUGCCUCAUGAUGGUUAAUUUUAUGUGUCGACUUGACUGGCUAACAGAUGGGCUGUCAGAUAGCUCGUAAAAUGUUAUUUCUGGGUGUGUCCAUGUUUCUGGAAGAGAUUAGCAUUUGCAUCAUUAGACUGAGUAAAGUCACACCAAUGAGGGGGACAUCACUCAUUUAGUUGUGGGCCGGAAUAGAACAAAAAGGUGGAGAAAAGGAUGAAUUUGCCCUCUGCUCGAACUGGGACAUCCAACUCCUUCUGCGCUCAAGAGAUCGGCUCCCUGGUGCUCAGGCCUUUGGACUGGGACUGAAUUACACCACUGGUUUUCCGCGGCCUCCAGCUUAUAGACCACAGAUGGUGGGACUCCUCCGCCUCCAUAAUCAUGAUGGAAGGGGCCACAUGAGAAGGAAUGUGGGCAGCUUCUAAGACCAAACUGCAGUCCCUAGCCACCAGCCUGCCAGCAAACAGGGACCUGCAUCUUACACCUGCAAGGAACUGAAUUCUGUCAACACCUGAAUGAGCUUGAAAGGAAGUUCUCCCCCAACAGCUCCAGGCUUAUCAUCCCAGAGUGGAUCUGAAUUCCUGAUCCUCUAUUUCCAGUAAUUUCAUGGGAGAAGUACAAGUUUGUUUACCCAGCAUGCCUAAUGACCAUUAGUAGGCCAUGCAGUCCUCGCUUUCAUACUGGCAUCUUUUCUCAAGCCUCGCUAAGCUGCCAGGAAAUCAGAGAUGGGCCCAGCUGUGCACAGCCAUACUGACUCAGUCAAGAUGGAACAUGAGAUCCAUUCUGUGUCCAUGAGAAGCAGGUCUAGGAUUUUUCCUGGAAGUAUUAGAAAAGGGAAAGCCUUUUCUCAAUGAGGUUAGAACUGAGUGUGUGUAAGCCUGAAGCUUCCUGUGGCCAACUGGUGACAGAAGAGGGAAAAUCUGAAUGCGAAUCCAGCUAACACAGUAACUCAAUACUGAGCUACAGAGACAGAGACGGAGUCCUAAAGAUGUUGAGCACCUAGAUCCAGCCUUGCCUGAAGUUACAGGAACCAGUACACUUCUGCUCAAGUCCAUUUGACUGGUGUUUCUGGCACUGUCUGAUCUAUACAGAGCUUAGAGCCGUAUGCAGCACACAGCUGGCUCCGGACAAUUAUACACUAAGGAAUGAAAGAGUGAUUUUCGGAAUAUCGGCAUUGAAAUCUAAGGGACAGGAAGUUGGGACACAUUCCCCCAACAGAGUCCUUCUGAACCCUAAAAUUCUAUGGUUGGCUGCUUCCCAAAACACCUCUUUGAGGAUUCACCUUUGAAUGUGUAUCCAGAAUAUUCAGGGAUGGCUGAAGGCAGUUCUCUUCUGUUCAUUCCUCAUGGUGCCCAGGCUAUUGCUGUGUAGGUGGGCCAAACUCAUACACCUCUAUCUCUCAGAAGCCUUAGGCACAGGAACUUGGCCCAUGGAAGUUCCAGCACAUAAGGCCCUUAGCAGGAAGGAAAACUAAUUUAAAAAUGGCCUCAGCUUUCUCAGGAAAUUAUUUUCACUCCGUCUCUAUAAAAAGUACCAGAUUUGACCCCUUGUCUCUUCCUACCUCCUUCUCUGUUAACAUGCCUAUAGAGGUGGUGGGAGAACAGGGGGCCAGACUGAGACGAUGAAAGUCCACUUUUCAUGAAAACGGUCAUCAGAAACCAGUUUGUAAUAGCCAGAGGCCACCAAGAAUAGCUAAGGCUAAGCCAAGUUGUUGAAUCGGACAAUUCUCAAUUGAGUGAGGAAAUGCAUAGCUGUUACUAGUGAUCACAGAAGAAAGCAUCUCUUUGAGAUAAAACUGGAGACAGAAAGAAAAGACCUGGUCAGGCUGCUUUUCUCACUGCAUUAUGAUCAUUUAUCAGGCAAGUUCAGAUAUCUUAGGUAAAUACCUUGAUUGGAUUUUGAUAUUAAAUUGAUAGGGUUGAAAGGUAAAGGCUGAAAUGCAACAAAUAAUCCUAGGCCAGUGAAGUUCCAGCCUGAAUUCUCAGAAGAACUGGUUCAUUCUGCAUUUUUCUUUGCAGCUCCUAGCAGCUAGAACCUGGCUGGCCAGCCCAGAAAACAGGCUGCCAUCCAAACUAGGUGGCAUUGUAAGGUAUAGCCUGGACCCAUCACUGCUAUGUAACAAAGAAGAACAUAUUCAGGUGCAAAAUGCAGACAUGCAAGGACCAAAGCAAUUGCACUUAAUAAAGAGCCCAGGUGAUAAGGACUUGACCUGGAUCUGUGCACAGGGCAAGCACUUAGGUAUAGUAGCACCCAGCCCCACCUCCAAGGGAACUACUCAGAUCUCAUCCAUUGUAACUCUCAGAUUCGUGAGGCCUAGGGCCACCUUUCUCCUUUCACCCUAUCUCCAGGGUCUUGCACAUGGCUUGGCAAGCAUAUUUGUUGAUUGUAUGAAUAAAUGACUGCUUCUCACAAAAAAGAGCAAAUGUUUUAUAACUCCAUGACUAAGAUGGAGUUACAAAACAUUUUAGAGCAUUUCAAUGAAAAAAUGAUUCCUUAUAUCAGCACACUAUUUAGUAGUUUCUGGUGUACAAAGAGGCUUAGCAUUUAAAUAUAAUUUAAUCAUCAUAUUAUAGAUGUCAGGCAGGCUAGAUAUUUUUCAUUUAUUUACCCAAUCAACAUACGUUAAGUUCCUUUAAUAGACAGUGUGUUAGCAGUUGGCAUAUAAAACUGCUUAAGAUAUGAUCUACUCCUAUGCCCCGAGAAAGCUCACAAUGGAGUAGAGGAUACACACACACAUAAAUAAUUAGACAAAUAAUUACAAUAAAAUGUGGUAAGUAUUAAUGGAGGAACUAAGAACACACAUAAUUUGUUGAGUACUUUGCCUGUGGCAGCCAGAAAAGUUUCAUGGAAGUGACGGCAAAUUAAAGGAAGAAAGAGAAUUUGGCAAAUAUCCAAAGGUAGGGGAAGACUUUGCAGAGAAAGAAUAGAGAGCAAAUAGAACAUUGUUUCAUACAAUAGAAUAGAAAAUAUUUGCUGAACAAUGGCAGAAUAUGAGACUAGAAAGAAAGUAAAGGCCAAGCCAUCAAGUGUUUUGAAACAUCAACCAUGAAACUUACCUGAAGGUUAUAGGAGCCAUUUGAAAAUGUUAAUGGAGAAAGAGGAGUAAGGUGUUCAGGUGUGCAUGUUAUUAUCCAGAUUUCUUAGAAGGGAAAGCUGGGUAACAAAAGUUAGAUGACUUUUCCUGAGCCAUAGGGAGAAUAAUAGGAAAGCCAAAUAUUUGCUGGAUUGUAAAUGAAAUGCCAAAUACCCACUUCCUGUUCACUGUUCAAUCAUUGGAGACAACAUUUGUCAUGUGGAAAAGGAGUUCAUUAUAAUCAGACUGGAAAUUCAUGUACCUGAAAACCUCUGGAAGGGAACAUGUAGGGAAUGAACAAGACAGAAUAGCAGAUACAAAACAAUUCUUAUCCGUCUGAAUCUGUUUUACAUUUCAUUCCAGAUGCUGCAAAUUAGCACCAAUACAAUGAAUCUUUGCAAAUUAAAUAGGGUCACAGUGGGAAAGAACCCAUCAGCCACUCUAGUUCCAAAACCCUCCUAGGCAAGCAAUAACCUGAAAUAAACCUUGGAGUCCUGACCCCAGACUAAUAGCCUGCUUCAUACUCUCUGAACAAAACAAUUAAAUAAUCACAUUCCUCAUG